UACCUGGUUGAUCCUGCCAGUAGUCAUAUGCUUGUCUCAAAGAUUAAGCCAUGCAUGUGUAAGCACACACUGUUUUAAAAGUGAAGCCGCGAAUGGCUCAUUACAACAGCCACAGUUUAUUAGAACUUACAAUCAUGGAUAACUGUGGUAAUUCUAGAGCUAAUACACGCACAAAAACUUCAACUGAAUUGGUUGAAGUGCUUUUAUUAAAACAAAAACCGAACGGCGUUUGACGAAUGUUGAACGUCGAAACUGUUUGGUGAAUCUGAAUAACUAUUUCUGAUCGCAUGGUCCUAGCACCGGCGACAUCACUUUCGGAUGUGUCUGCCUUAUCAACCUUCGAUGGUAGUCUAUGCGACUACCAUGGUGAUAACGGGUAACGGAGAAUCAGGGUUCGACUCCGGAGAGGGAGCCUGAGAAACGGCUACCACAUCCAAGGAAGGCAGCAGGCGCGCAAAUUACCCACUCCCAGCUUGGGGAGGUAGUGACGAAAAAUAACGAGACGAUUCUCGUUUGAGAAACGUUAUCGAAAUGAGUACGCUUUACACACGCUAACGAGUAGCAAUUGGAGGGCAAGUCUGGUGCCAGCAGCCGCGGUAAUUCCAGCUCCAAUAGCGUAUAUUAAAGUUGCUGCGGUUAAAACGCUCGUAGUUGAAUUGUGGUCUUAGACAACAGUCCCCCUACAAAGGUGUGGCACGGUUGCUCUAGAUCUUCAUUCGAGGUU
rnacentral:ncRNA from 1 species